GCACUGCGUGGAUGAGGGAAGAAAAAUAUAGAAGGGAGCAUUAUGUCACGCAGCCAGCUUCGGCAAGCGAACGCUUCGUGUAGCCAGCAGUGGUGGCCCAACACGUGACCUCUUGCGUCGAGAUCACGGAGAAUCGAGAUUUGCCGAGACGUUUGGCUACCGGCAGUUUUUAUUCGGUACGCG
rnacentral:lncRNA from 1 species